rnacentral:tRNA from 1 species
GACACUAUAGCCAAGUGGUUAAGGCGACAGAUUAGAACUUGUUCAUGAUCUGUUUCCCUCUGGGAGCGUAGGUUCGAACCCUACUGGUGUCG